CCAAAGGCCCUUUUCAGGGCCCCCAAUGAGUCCAGGAAGAGCUGU
rfam:Heterocephalus glaber contig180064, whole genome shotgun sequence.